rnacentral:sRNA from 1 species
CAUUCCAGGAAGUUCCCUGAUUCCUGGGCACGUGGGCCUUACAGGUUAAUUUUGGGCUUUAGAACACCUACUAAUGAACACAAAGGCAGAGGGAGCAGACAGAGUAAGAAAGAACAGCUCUGAACCAGGCAGCAGCCCCCACCAGAUGCUGGAUUUUCCAGCCUCUUGAUUUUAGACUUCGAAAUCUACACGAUGAUGAACGGUGCCAAUGUCAAGCUGAACCAGAACGGUUGGAGAGCCCCAGGACCCAGAAGAGCCGCCCGCAGUAGCCCCACCAACCCAGGGUGUUCUCAGAAUUCCUCUCCCCACAUCCAGCCCUAUGAAACUUUUAGCAUCUGCCUCUUCCCCUCAAUCCUUGGAGUGGGGGGAAAUCUCAGUGAAGAAGAUGGAUCUCCCAUCCUCUUGACUGGCAGAGGCUCCCAGAGGACCCAAGCACAGCGGGAAAGAGGACUCUGAAUUUCUUGAUCAAAGAAUAUGAGGUAUUGCAUUCAUGUGGCCAUAAAGGUUGAGCUCAUUCCAAAUGCUCUCUCUCCCCUCCCUGACUCAGUCCAGCCUCCCUACCAAAUCUACUCUCUGGUGAUACUUAAUAAAGAUACCGUCCUCCUUGGGGGGAAACGGAGUUGAAAGAGCUGA